rnacentral:sRNA from 1 species
UAAACAACAACAAACAAAUUAUCGAAAAA